rnacentral:rRNA from 1 species
UUAAGCGACUAAGCGUACACGGUGGAUGCCCUGGCAGUCAGAGGCGAUGAAGGACGUGCUAAUCUGCGAAAAGCGUCGGUAAGGUGAUAUGAACCGUUAUAACCGGCGAUGUCCGAAUGGGGAAACCCAGUGUGAUUCGUCACACUAUCGUUAACUGAAUACAUAGGUUAACGAGGCGAACCGGGGGAACUGAAACAUCUAAGUACCCCGAGGAAAAGAAAUCAACCGAGAUUCCCCCAGUAGCGGCGAGCGAACGGGGAGCAGCCCAGAGUCUGAAUCAGCUUGUGUGUUAGUGGAACGGUCUGGAAAGUCCGACGGUACAGGGUGAUAGUCCCGUACACCAAAAUGCACAGGCUGUGAACUCGAAGAGUAGGGCGGGACACGUGGUAUCCUGUCUGAAUAUGGGGGGACCAUCCUCCAAGGCUAAAUACUCCUGACUGACCGAUAGUGAACCAGUACCGUGAGGGAAAGGCGAAAAGAACCCCGGCGAGGGGAGUGAAAAAGAACCUGAAACCGUGUACGUACAAGCAGUGGGAGCACCUUCGGGUGUGACUGCGUACCUUUUGUAUAAUGGGUCAGCGACUUAUAUUCUGUAGCAAGGUUAACCGUAUAGGGGAGCCGCAGGGAAACCGAGUCUUAACUGGGCGUUAAGUUGCAGGGUAUAGACCCGAAACCCGGUGAUCUAGCCAUGGGCAGGUUGAAGGUUGGGUAACACUAACUGGAGGACCGAACCGACUAAUGUUGAAAAAUUAGCGGAUGACUUGUGGCUGGGGGUGAAAGGCCAAUCAAACCGGGAGAUAGCUGGUUCUCCCCGAAAGCUAUUUAGGUAGCGCCUCGUGAAUUCAUCUUCGGGGGUAGAGCACUGUUUCGGCUAGGGGGUCAUCCCGACUUACCAACCCGAUGCAAACUACGAAUACCGAAGAAUGUUAUCACGGGAGACACACGGCGGGUGCUAACGUCCGUCGUGAAGAGGGAAACAACCCAGACCGCCAGCUAAGGUCCCAAAGUCAUGGUUAAGUGGGAAACGAUGUGGGAAGGCACAGACAGCCAGGAUGUUGGCUUAGAAGCAGCCAUCAUUUAAAGAAAGCGUAAUAGCUCACUGGUCGAGUCGGCCUGCGCGGAAGAUGUAACGGGGCUAAACCAUGCACCGAAGCUGCGGCAGCGACACGAUGUGUUGUUGGGUAGGGGAGCGUUCUGUAAGCCUGCGAAGGUGACCUGUGAGGGUUGCUGGAGGUAUCAGAAGUGCGAAUGCUGACAUAAGUAACGAUAAAGCGGGUGAAAAGCCCGCUCGCCGGAAGACCAAGGGUUCCUGUCCAACGUUAAUCGGGGCAGGGUGAGUCGACCCCUAAGGCGAGGCCGAAAGGCGUAGUCGAUGGGAAACAGGUUAAUAUUCCUGUACUUGGUGUUACUGCGAAGGGGGGACGGAGAAGGCUAUGUUAGCCGGGCGACGGUUGUCCCGGUUUAAGCAUGUAGGCUGGUUGUCCAGGCAAAUCCGGAUAAUCAAGGCUGAGGUGUGAUGACGAGGCACUACGGUGCUGAAGUAACAAAUGCCCUGCUUCCAGGAAAAGCCUCUAAGCAUCAGGUAACAUCAAAUCGUACCCCAAACCGACACAGGUGGUCAGGUAGAGAAUACCAAGGCGCUUGAGAGAACUCGGGUGAAGGAACUAGGCAAAAUGGUGCCGUAACUUCGGGAGAAGGCACGCUGGUGUGUAGGUGAAGUCCCUGCGGAUGGAGCUGAGACCAGUCGAAGAUACCAGCUGGCUGCAACUGUUUAUUAAAAACACAGCACUGUGCAAACACGAAAGUGGACGUAUACGGUGUGACGCCUGCCCGGUGCCGGAAGGUUAAUUGAUGGGGUUAUCCGUAAGGAGAAGCUCUUGAUCGAAGCCCCGGUAAACGGCGGCCGUAACUAUAACGGUCCUAAGGUAGCGAAAUUCCUUGUCGGGUAAGUUCCGACCUGCACGAAUGGCGUAAUGAUGGCCAGGCUGUCUCCACCCGAGACUCAGUGAAAUUGAACUCGCUGUGAAGAUGCAGUGUACCCGCGGCAAGACGGAAAGACCCCGUGAACCUUUACUAUAGCUUGACACUGAACAUUGAGCCUUGAUGUGUAGGAUAGGUGGGAGGCUUUGAAGCGUGGACGCCAGUCUGCGUGGAGCCAACCUUGAAAUACCACCCUUUAAUGUUUGAUGUUCUAACGUUGGCCCCUGACCGGGGUUGCGGACAGUGUCUGGUGGGUAGUUUGACUGGGGCGGUCUCCUCCCAAAGCGUAACGGAGGAGCACGAAGGUUAGCUAAUCCUGGUCGGACAUCAGGAGGUUAGUGCAAUGGCAUAAGCUAGCUUGACUGCGAGCGUGACGGCGCGAGCAGGUGCGAAAGCAGGUCAUAGUGAUCCGGUGGUUCUGAAUGGAAGGGCCAUCGCUCAACGGAUAAAAGGUACUCCGGGGAUAACAGGCUGAUACCGCCCAAGAGUUCAUAUCGACGGCGGUGUUUGGCACCUCGAUGUCGGCUCAUCACAUCCUGGGGCUGAAGUAGGUCCCAAGGGUAUGGCUGUUCGCCAUUUAAAGUGGUACGCGAGCUGGGUUUAGAACGUCGUGAGACAGUUCGGUCCCUAUCUGCCGUGGGCGCUGGAGAAUUGAGGGGGGCUGCUCCUAGUACGAGAGGACCGGAGUGGACGCAUCACUGGUGUUCGGGUUGUCAUGCCAAUGGCACUGCCCGGUAGCUAAAUGCGGAAGAGAUAAGUGCUGAAAGCAUCUAAGCACGAAACUUGCCCCGAGAUGAGUUCUCCCUGAGACUUUAAGUCUCCUGAAGGAACGUUGAAGACGACGACGUUGAUAGGCCGGGUGUGUAAGCGCAGCGAUGCGUUGAGCUAACCGGUACUAAUGAACCGUGAGGCUUAACCUU